GCUAGGGCUAUGGCUCAGUGGUAGAGUUCUUACCCAGUAUGGAUGAUGCCCUGGGUUUGAUCCCCAGCCCUGCA
rnacentral:tRNA from 1 species